rnacentral:rRNA from 1 species
AACGAACGCUGGCGGCAGGCCUAACACAUGCAAGUCGAGCGAGGACUUCGGUUCUAGCGGCGGACGGGUGAGUAACGCGUGGGAAUGUGCCCUUCUCUACGGAAUAGCCCUGGGAAACUGGGAGUAAUACCGUAUACGCCCUAUUGGGGAAAGAUUUAUCGGAGAAGGAUCAGCCCGCGUUGGAUUAGGUAGUUGGUGGGGUAAUGGCCUACCAAGCCGACGAUCCAUAGCUGGUUUGAGAGGAUGAUCAGCCACACUGGGACUGAGACACGGCCCAGACUCCUACGGGAGGCAGCAGUGGGGAAUCUUAGACAAUGGGGGCAACCCUGAUCUAGCCAUGCCGCGUGAGUGAUGAAGGCCUUAGGGUUGUAAAGCUCUUUCAGCUGGGAAGAUAAUGACGGUACCAGCAGAAGAAGCCCCGGCCAACUCCGUG